UCUGAACCCUAAUUUUCUGUCUGUUGUUAUUUUGUCUGACUCUUGUGAUUUUUGUUUUUCUGAAAGAAUUGAUUUUGAAGGCUAAGUAAAGGAUUGGCUUGCUGGUUGUGUUUCUUUUCUGGUAAUUUUCCGUAUUUUUUGGUUGUUUAUGGUUGCCGCUUUAUUUGUAAGGAGAAUAUUAUACUCCAUAAUAAUGUGCUGGGCGUGAUUCAACUCAUAUACAGUUGAAUGCGUAAAUUAUAUGAUUCAACUUUAUUUGUAAGGAGAAUAUUAUACUCCAAAAACUUGACGAAUAGUUGAAUGAAUAAAUUAUCACCCAUAUACAGUUACUGAAUAAGGAACACCUCACAGUUCUGUUGUAGAUUCUUAUUUUCAGUACAGUUUUCUAAUUGCAUCAUAGUCUUGCUGUCUAAUGCUAGCUUAAUGUGCCUGUUGAGUAUCAAAUCAUUGUCAAUGAUGAUUUUAAAUUAAAGAUCUGGCUUGCUAAUGUUAAUUUGGCGAUUGGAUCUCUUGUUUGGGUGGAGGGUCCUGAGGUAGUUUGGAUGGAUGGAGAAGUUGUAGGAGUUAAUGAUGAAGAGAUUGAAAUAAACUGGACAUCCGGGAAGACGGUUUUUGAGCAUUCCACUACAUUGGUUUCGGAGUUGGAAUGGGGGUCGUAGAGGCAUUGCAAAAUUUGGAGUCGUCGAGAACAAUUGCUUCACUUAAUGGUAGUCAUUCUGAUGUAAGAUUGGGACGAUUGCCCAUGGAAAAUGGAGAGUGCUCUUUCCAUUCCCAGUCACCUAAGUUAAAGAGGCGCAUAAUCUCUGCUGUUCGUGAUUUCCCCCCGGGAUGUGGACGAUUUGCUCAGAUAAACAAUUUGAGACCUGAUAAGGAGGCGACUUCUGUGGUUGAGAGUGUACCAACAGAAAGUUUGAUUCGUGGGGAUAAAAAUGGCGAUGGACAUGGGGUUGAUAAGAUGAUGCUCUCAAAUGGUCACGAAGAUGAGACUGACUUGAAUCGCAAGGACAUCGAUACUGUGGAGACAAUUGAAUCAGUAACAGCCUUAGAGCAUGAAAUAUCUGAUUCUCCGAAGAAUCUACAUCAGUUAAACAAUUUGAGAUCUGUUGAAGAGGCCGCUUCUGUUGGUACUGCUGAGGCUUUGAUUAGCAGGGGUAAGAAUGGUGAUGGGCAUGGGAUUGAAAAGCUGAUGGUCUCUACUGGUCAGGUGGAUGAGACUGUCUUGAUGAAUGGUAAGGCUGCUGGUACUCUGGACACAGUUGAAUCUUUAACAGCCUUAGAGCAUGAAGUAUCUGAUUUGUUGAAGAACCCAAAUCAGCUUGGUGUGGCUAGUCCAAAUGAAGAUAUGGUUGCUGUUCUACCAGAUAUAAAUGUUUGUUCACCACCUGUUUCCAAUGGCAAUGGUGUGGACAAGAUUGCAGUUAAAAAAUAUCCUCCUCGAAGAAGAGUAUCAGCUGUUCGGGACUUCCCUCUUCUCUGUGGAAGAAAUGUUUCUCUGGAAGAAAGGAAUUUUGGUCAAGAGAGGUCGGCUGUAGGUGACAAACCAUCAUCAUCGAACACACCGAAAACUAGUGUGAAACAAAUAGGAGAGGAUGUUCAGGAUGACGAGUUUCACAAGAGCGAUUUGGAAGUGAAUGUUUCUAAAGUAAUUGGGGAGGUUCAACCCAACUGUAAGGAGAAUCCUGUUCAAGAAAUGGAGAAACAAGAUGAAUGUAAGGUAAAUUCUAAGAUGAAUGUGAUUUCGAAAGAUACAAAGAAAAAGUGCAUUGAACCUUCUCAAGAAAGCAAUGGAUGUCAAGGCGUGGGGGAUGUUGGAUAUUCGGAGGAGAAAGUGGGGAAGGAGAUGGUAGUAUACCAUGAGAAGGAAAUUCCAAGUGAGAAAUGUUUAGAUGAAUGUAAGGUAAAUUCUAAGAUGAAGGUGGUUCCAAAAGAUACAAGAAAAGAGUGUAUUGAACCUUCUCAAGAAAACAAUGGAUGUCAAGGCCCGGGGGAUGUUGGACAUUCAGAGGAGCUAGUGGGGAAGGAAAUUGUGGUAUACCAUGCAAAGGAAAGUCCAAGUGAAAAAUGUUUAGAUAUAUCUAAUUUUCAUAACCAAUUGCAUGAAGAAGAUUUUGAAAGUUCAGAACUUACAUCGGAUAGGGUGAUGGUGAUGGGUUUGAUGGCUGCCUCAAAUUGUCCGUGGAGGAAGGGAAAAGAGGUCUGCAAGCGUAAAACAGAAGGUGGUAUGAGUAGAAGCAAACGAAAGAAACCUGAUUUUAAAUGUCAGCUAGAAAGAUCUAAAACUGCGUCCAGGAAAAUAGUUGACUCGGACAUUGGAGGAAAGUCUAAAAAGAAGGUUCAUCCUAUAGCACGAAAGAAUGCUUACCAAGGCUCAAAUCAGCUUGUUAUAUGGGAUACAGAGAAUUCUCUUGAGAGUGACCAGAAGGAAGACCUUCAUAAGACUCCAAGAUCACGUUGUUCUGAUGUAUGCCCUCCUCCUUUUGGUCUUAGUAGUUUAACUAGCAAAGUUCAUGAUAAUGACCGAACUGUCACCCGAAACAAGGUGAGGGAGACAUUGCGUCUGUUCCAAGCUCUUUGUAGGAAGUUCUUGCAGGAGGAAGAAGGUAAGUCAAAGGAAGGAGGAAGUUCUCGCAGGAGGAUUGAUUAUGCAGCGGCAAAGAUUCUGAAGGAUAACGGAAAAUAUGUAAAUAUAGGGAAACAAAUCUUGGGGCCUGUCCCAGGUGUUGAAGUUGGUGAUGAGUUUCAUUACAGAGUGGAACUUACUAUAGUUGGUCUUCAUCGCCAGAGUCAAGGUGGUAUAGACUAUGUGAAGCAUGGUGGCAAGGUCCUUGCAACUAGUAUAGUUGCAUCUGGUGGUUAUGCUGAUGAUUUGGAUAAUUCAGAUUCCUUGAUUUAUACGGGCCAAGGAGGAAAUGUGAUGAAUACUGAUAAGGAACCUGAAGAUCAGAAGCUUGAACGGGGAAACCUUGCUUUGAAGAACAGUCUGCAUGAAAAGAAUCCUGUUAGAGUGAUCCGUGGCUCUGAAUCUUCUGAUGGAAAAAGUAAGACAUACGUCUAUGAUGGAUUAUAUUUAGUAGCUAAAUGUUGGCAGGAUGUGGGGUCUCAUGGUAAGCUUGUUUUCAAGUUUCAACUGGCCAGAAUUCGAGAUCAACCAGAGCUUCCCUUGAAAGAAGUCAAGAAGUCCAAAAAAUCUCGAGUACGGGUAGGUCGCUGCAGUGAUGAUAUUUCACUGGGGAAAGAGUCAAUUCCUAUUUGUGCUGUGAAUACCAUAGAUGAUGAGAAACCUCCACCAUUUGUAUACAUAACCAACAUGAUAUAUCCUGAUUGGUGCCGCCCAAUCCCUCCCAAGGGUUGUAGCUGUACUGUUGCAUGCUCAGAUUCUGAGAAAUGUUCUUGUGCAGUUAACAACGGAGGUGAGAUCCCAUAUAACUUUAAUGGUGCUAUUGUUGAAGUAAAGCCACUUGUGUAUGAGUGUGGUCCUUCUUGUAAGUGUCCUCCUUCUUGUUAUAAUAGAGUUAGCCAGCGUGGUAUCAAAUUUCCGCUUGAAAUCUUUAAAACUGAAUCAAGGGGUUGGGGAGUGAGAUCCCUAAAUUCCAUUCCUUCAGGAAGUUUUAUAUGUGAGUAUAUAGGAGAGCUCCUUGAAGACAAGGAAGCUGAAGAAAGAACUGGUAAUGAUGAGUAUCUGUUUGAUAUUGGGAAUAACUACAAUGACAGUUCUCUUUGGGAUGGACUUUCAACCCUCAUGCCCGAUGCACAGUCAAGUUCUUAUGAAGUUGUGGGGGAUGGUGGAUUUACCAUUGAUGCAGCACAAUAUGGCAAUGUGGGAAGAUUUGUCAACCAUAGUUGUUCCCCUAAUCUCUAUGCCCAAAAUGUCCUCUAUGAUCAUGAUGAUACUAGAAUUCCUCACAUUAUGUUCUUUGCCGCCGAGAACAUUCCUCCCUUGCAAGAGUUGACUUAUCAUUACAAUUAUAUGAUAGAUCAGGUUCGUGAUUCCGAUGGCAAUAUAAAGAAGAAGAGUUGCUAUUGUGGUUCUCCAGAGUGUACCGGCAGGCUGUAUUGAGUCAGACUUAAGAGGACAAUUGUGAGUUACUUACAAGAGAUAAAGUUCUGGUGGGAAUAUAGUUUGCUUGAGAGGAGGAUAUUGAUAACCUAAUUUUGAAGGCCCAAGGUAUCUCGACACGGUGACACAUAUCGGUAGCAAGAUUUACAUUUUAAACGAUUUUGACCUGAAAAACAGGAGUUUUUAAUGGAGUAAUCUUGUUCGUUUAUGUCAGUCUUGAAGUUGGACCAUCUGCUGUACUUUGGAUUUGACAUCUUUGAUGGUGUUUGUUUUGCUGUCAUGGAACUUCUCAAUCAAGUGAUCAUGUUUGUAGUACUUUUUGGAUUGGAUAUAAACUUCUAUGUUUAGAUGAUAGUUCUUGGGGCCAACUUGUGCAAUUUAUUGAAGUUAAUAAUCAAUUUAGGGCAUGUUUGGUAGGCUUCAUUAGGAUGAACUAUGCUAAAUAAGCCUUGAAGCCCAUGUUUGGUAAAAUGGGGGACUAAGUUAAAAGGGAUUGUGGAGUCCAACAGUAAAAAAACCUCCUCACUCGCUCUCCUUAUACAGAGAGGCUGAAACUGCCUUCGCAAAAUAAGCCAUUCGCUAAAUUGAAACAGCGAGUCCGGCUCUCUCUCUCUCGUUCGCAACUCCGGCUCUCUUUCUGUCGCGACUCCAGCUCUCUCUCUCUCUCGUUCGCGACUGCUUCUUCGAAUCUUGACCAGGUGGAGGACAAUUUCUAUAGACCCGAUUUGAAGAAAGCAGCCCUUGCCAGGUUGAGUGUUGGUCACAGGAUUCUCAAGGUCUCCAAGUCUGGUGUCAAGAAGAGGAGUAGGCAGGUUCUCAAGACCCCUGUUAGGAAGUGAGAUAGUGGGGAAGAUGCGUCAUCUUUCUACUAUGCUCAUUUGGUGUUUUUAGUUUUACUUUUCCAGGUUCAGAGAGACAUGAUUUCCCAUAUUAUACUUAUCUCUAGAAGAAUGUGGAAACUUUUGCCCUUUUACUGAGAAAGGGAAGGUCCCUGUUUGUUUUUUAUCACCUAGUUCUGCUGAGGAUUGUUUUGGUAAUGCUAUGCUCUAAUGUGUAGUUUUCAGAAAUGUCUUAAUCAGAGUUUCGGAUGCAACUCUUAUUUAAAUCCUAAUUCUAGUUUACCAGGUUAAAUGCAAGAUAUAAAGAAUGUUUGCCUA